GCUGGGUACAGUGGCGCACGCCUGUAAUCACAGCUUGGGAAGCUGAGGUAGGAGGAUUGCGAGUUCAAAGCUAGCCUCAGCAAUUUAGGGAGGUGCUAAGUAACUCUGCAAGACCCUGUCUCUA
rnacentral:sRNA from 1 species